UGGGGAAUAUUGGACAAUGGGCGCAAGCCUGAUCCAGCCAUGCCGCGUGAGUGAUGAAGGCCUUAGGGUUGUAAAGCUCUUUCGCCGGUGAAGAUAAUGACGGUAACCGGAGAAGAAGCCCCGGCUAACUUCGUGCCAGCAGCCGCGGUAAUACGAAGGGGGCUAGCGUUGCUCGGAAUCACUGGGCGUAAAGCGCACGUAGGCGGAUCGUUAAGUCAGGGGUGAAAUCCUGGAGCUCAACUCCAGAACUGCCCUUGAUACUGGCGAUCUCGAGUUCGAGAGAGGUUGGUGGAACUCCGAGUGUAGAGGUGAAAUUCGUAGAUAUUCGGAAGAACACCAGUGGCGAAGGCGGCCAACUGGCUCGAUACUGACGCUGAGGUGCGAAAGCGUGGGGAGCAAANCAGGAUUAGAUACCCUGGUAGUCCACGCCGUAAACGAUGGAUGCUAGCCGUUGGGGGGUUUACCUCUCAGUGGCGCAGCUAACGCCUUAAGCAUCCCGCCUGGGGAGUACGGUCGCAAGAUUAAAACUCAAAUGAAUUGACGG
rnacentral:rRNA from 1 species